GAUGAACGCUAGCGGCAGGCCUAACACAUGCAAGUCGAGGGGUAACAGGGUAGCAAUAUCGCUGACGACCGGCGCACGGGUGAGUAACACGUAUGCAACCUUCCUUUAACUGGGGGAUAGCCCGGAGAAAUUCGGAUUAAUACCCCAUAAUAUCACAGAAAGGCAUCUUUUUGUGAUUAAAGCCCCGGCGGUUAAAGAUGGGCAUGCGUACCAUUAGCUAGUUGGUGAGGUAACGGCUCACCAAGGCAACGAUGGUUAGGGGGUCUGAGAGGAUGAUCCCCCACCCUGGUACUGAGACACGGACCAGACUCCUACGGGAGGCGGCAGUGAGGAAUAUUGGGCAAUGGGCGCAAGCCUGACCCAGCCAUGCCGCGUGAAGGAUGAAUGCCCUAUGGGUUGUAAACUUCUUUUGUACGGGACGAAACUCCUGGUCGUGACCGGGAUUGACUGUACCGUGCGAAUAAGCAUCGGCUAACUCCGUGCCAGCAGCCGCCGUAAUAC
rnacentral:rRNA from 1 species